GGGGCUGUAGCUUAGUGAUAGAGCACCCACCUCACACAUGUGAGGCACUGGGUUCGAUCCUCAGCAGCAAUA
rfam:Ictidomys tridecemlineatus contig114355, whole genome shotgun sequence.